UUGGUGGCGAGUGGCGGACGGGUGAGUAAUGCGCAGGAAUAUGCCUUAAAGUGGGGGACAACUUGGGGAAACUCAAGCUAAUACCGCGUAAUCUCUGAGGAGAGAAGCUGGGGACUUUCGAGCCUGGCGCUUUAAGAUUAGCCUGCGUCCGAUUAGCUAGUUGGUAGGGUAAAGGCCUACCAAGGCCACGAUCGGUAGCUGGUCUGAGAGGAUGACCAGCCACACUGGGACUGAGACACGGCCCAGACUCC
rnacentral:rRNA from 1 species